UGAGAGGCCGAGCGGCCGCUCCUCGUGGUGCCCUCGGGCAUCGGCGGGGGGAGGAAAGUCCGGGCUCCACAGGUCAGGGUGGUUGGUAACGCCAACCGGGCGCGAGCCCAGGGAAAGUGCCACAGAAAUCAAACCGCCUACCUCGCGCAAGCGAGCGGCAAGGGUGAAACGGUGCGGUAAGAGCGCACCGCGCUCCUGGUGACGGGAGUGGCAAGGUAAACCCCACCCGGAGAAAGAUCGAAUAGGGGAGGAACGGUGACGACCUGCACCAUUCAAGCCUCCCGGGUAGAUCGUUUGAGGCCUGGGGCGACCCAGGUCCCAGAGAAAUGGUCGCCCUCCCCCCCGUGGGGAGGACAGGACCCGGCUUAUGGGGUCUCUCACAUC
rnacentral:RNase_P_RNA from 1 species